rnacentral:rRNA from 1 species
UCCUACGGGAGGCAGCAGUGGGGAAUAUUGGACAAUGGGCGCAAGCCUGAUCCAGCAAUGCCGCGUGGGUGAUGACGGCCUUCGGGUUGUAAAGCCCUUUUGCCAUUGACGAGAACGGACGGUAGGUGGCGAAUAAGCCUCGGCUAACUACGUGCCAGCAGCCGCGGUAAAACGUAGGAGGCGAGCGUUAUCCGGAGUUACUGGGCGUAAAGCGUGCGCAGGCGGUGCCAUAAGUCAGGUGUGAAAGAUUCCGGCUCAACCGGGAAAACGCGCUUGAGACUGUGGGACUAGAGUGGGAUAGAGGGACGUGGAAUUCCGGGUGGAGCGGUGAAAUGUGUAGAGAUCCGGAGGAACACCAGAGGCGCAAGCGGCGUCCUGGGUCCCAACUGACGCUGAGGCACGAAAGCUUGGGGAGCGAACGGGAUUAGAGACCCCGGUAGUCCAAGCCGUAAACGAUGCAGACUCGGUGUCCACUUCUCGCAAGGGAGGGGGCGCCACAGCCAACGCGAUAAGUCUGCCGCCUGGGGAGUACGGUCGCAAGACUAAAACUCAAAGGAAUUGACGG